rnacentral:rRNA from 1 species
GACGAACGCUGGCGGCGUGCUUAACACAUGCAAGUCGAACGGAAAGGCCCUGCUCUUGUGGGGUGCUCGAGUGGCGAACGGGUGAGUAUCACGUGAGUAACAUGCCCCUGACUUUGGGAUAACAUCAGGAAACACGGGCUAAUACCGGAUAGGAGCUCCGGCUGCAUGGUGGGGGUUGGAAAGUUUCGGCAGUUGGGGAUGGUCUGGCGGCUUAUCGUCUUGUUGGUGGGGUAGUGGCUUACCAAGGCUUGGACGGGACGCCGGCCUGGGAGGGUGACCGGCCACAUUGGGACUGAGAUACGGCCCAGACUCAUACGGGAGGCAGCAGUGGGGAAUAGUGCACAAUGGGCGGAAGCCUGAUGCAGCAACGCCGCGUGCGGGAUGACGGCCUUCGGGUUGUAAACCGCUUUCGCCUGUGACGAAGCGUGAGUGACGGUAAUGUGUAAAGAAGCACCGGCUAACUACGUG